rfam:Gorilla gorilla gorilla genomic chromosome, chr4, whole genome shotgun sequence
GCUGGGCAUGGUGGCACACGCCUGUAGGCCCAGCCACUUGGGAGGCUGAGUCAGAAGAAUCACUUGAACCCGGGAAGCAGAGGUUGCAGUGAGCGGAGAUCACGCCACUGCACUCCAGCCUAGCGNNNNNNNNNNCGCUAGGCUGGAGUGCAGUGGCGUGAUCUCCGCUCACUGCAACCUCUGCUUCCCGGGUUCAAGUGAUUCUUCUGACUCAG